CCUACGGGUCGCAGCAGUGGGGAAUAUUGGACAAUGGGGGCAACCCUGAUCCAGCCAUGCCGCGUGUGUGAAGAAGGCCCUCGGGUUGUAAAGCACUUUCAGUGAGGAAGAACGCCUGGUGGUUAAUACCCAUCAGGAAAGACAUCACUCACAGAAGAAGCACCGGCUAACUCCGUGCCAGCAGCCGCGGUAAUACGGAGGGUGCGAGCGUUAAUCGGAAUUACUGGGCGUAAAGCGCGCGUAGGUGGCUUGAUAAGCCGGUUGUGAAAGCCCCGGGCUCAACCUGGGAACGGCAUCCGGAACUGUCAAGCUAGAGUGCAGGAGAGGAAGGUAGAAUUCCCGGUGUAGCGGUGAAAUGCGUAGAGAUCGGGAGGAAUACCAGUGGCGAAGGCGGCCUUCUGGACUGACACUGACACUGAGGUGCGAAAGCGUGGGUAGCAAACAGGAUUAGAUACCCUGGUAGUC
rnacentral:rRNA from 1 species